rfam:Candidate divison MSBL1 archaeon SCGC-AAA382A03 AAA382A03_Contig_3_C, whole genome shotgun sequence.
UAGGCAGAUGCCAAAGUACCCGAUCAACAAGCAGCCCACGAAAAAACCCUAACAACGCUGCUACCAGCACUCGAAGCCGAAGGAAGAAGCAUCUACGGAUUCG